rnacentral:rRNA from 1 species
UGGGGAAUUUUGCACAAUGGGGGAAACCCUGAUGCAGCGACGCCGCGUGAUUUAGAAGGCCUUCGGGCUGUAAAAAUCUUUUGUAUGGGAAGAAAAUGACAGUACCAUACGAAUAAGGACCGGCUAAUUACGUGCCAGCAGCCGCGGUAAUACGUAAGGUCCGAGCGUUGUCCGGAAUCAUUGGGCGUAAAGGGUACGUAGGCGGAUAAGCAAGUUAGAAGUGAAAUCCUAUAGCUCAACUAUAGUAAGCUUUUAAAACUGCUCAUCUUGAGGUGUGGAAGGGAAAGUGGAAUUCCUAGUGUAGCGGUGAAAUGCGCAGAUAUUAGGAGGAAUACCGGUGGCGAAGGCGACUUUCUGGCCAUAUACUGACGCUGAGGUACGAAAGCGUGGGUAGCAAACAGG